CGAAUGCUGACAUAAGUAACGAUAAAGCGGGUGAAAAGCCCGCUCGCCGGAAGACCAAGGGUUCCUGUCCAACGUUAAUCGGGGCAGGGUGAGUCGACCCCUAAGGCGAGGCCGAAAGGCGUAGUCGAUGGGAAACAGGUUAAUAUUCCUGUACUUGGUGUUACUGCGAAGGGGGGACGGAGAAGGCUAUGUUGGCCGGGCGACGGUUGUCCCGGUUUAAGCGUGUAGGCUGGUUUUCCAGGCAAAUCCGGAAAAUCAAGGCUGAGGCGUGAUGACGAGGCACUACGGUGCUGAAGCAACAAAUGCCCUGCUUCCAGGAAAAGCCUCUAAGCAUCAGGUAACAUCAAAUCGUACCCCAAACCGACACAGGUGGUCAGGUAGAGAAUACCAAGGCGCUUGAGAGAACUCGGGUGAAGGAACUAGGCAAAAUGGUGCCGUAACUUCGGGAGAAGGCACGCUGAUAUGUAGGUGAAGUCCCUCGCGGAUGGAGCUGAAAUCAGUCGAAGAUACCAGCUGGCUGCAACUGUUUAUUAAAAACACAGCACUGUGCAAACACGAAAGUGGACGUAUACGGUGUGACGCCUGCCCGGUGCCGGAAGGUUAAUUGAUGGGGUCAGCGCAAGCGAAGCUCUUGAUCGAAGCCCCGGUAAACGGCGGCCGUAACUAUAACGGUCCUAAGGUAGCGAAAUUCCUUGUCGGGUAAGUUCCGACCUGCACGAAUGGCGUAAUGAUGGCCAGGCUGUCUCCACCCGAGACUCAGUGAAAUUGAACUCGCUGUGAAGAUGCAGUGUACCCGCGGCAAGACGGAAAGACCCCGUGAACCUUUACUAUAGCUUGACACUGAACAUUGAGCCUUGAUGUGUAGGAUAGGUGGGAGGCUUUGAAGUGUGGACGCCAGUCUGCAUGGAGCCGACCUUGAAAUACCACCCUUUAAUGUUUGAUGUUCUAACGUGGACCCGUGAUCCGGGUUGCGGACAGUGUCUGGUGGGUAGUUUGACUGGGGCGGUCUCCUCCUAAAGAGUAACGGAGGAGCACGAAGGUUGGCUAAUCCUGGUCGGACAUCAGGAGGUUAGUGCAAUGGCAUAAGCCAGCUUGACUGCGAGCGUGACGGCGCGAGCAGGUGCGAAAGCAGGUCAUAGUGAUCCGGUGGUUCUGAAUGGAAGGGCCAUCGCUCAACGGAUAAAAGGUACUCCGGGGAUAACAGGCUGAUACCGCCCAAGAGUUCAUAUCGACGGCGGUGUUUGGCACCUCGAUGUCGGCUCAUCACAUCCUGGGGCUGAAGUAGGUCCCAAGGGUAUGGCUGUUCGCCAUUUAAAGUGGUACGCGAGCUGGGUUUAGAACGUCGUGAGACAGUUCGGUCCCUAUCUGCCGUGGGCGCUGGAGAACUGAGGGGGGCUGCUCCUAGUACGAGAGGACCGGAGUGGACGCAUCACUGGUGUUCGGGUUGUCAUGCCAAUGGCACU
rnacentral:rRNA from 1 species